UACAGAGGUCCCAAGCGUUGUUCGGAUUCACUGGGCGUAAAGGGUGCGUAGGCGGUCGGGUAAGUCUGAUGUGAAAUCUCACAGCUUAACUGUGAAACUGCAUUGGAUACUAUCCGGCUAGAGGAAUGGAGGGGAGACUGGAAUACUUGGUGUAGCAGUGAAAUGCGUAGAUAUCAAGUGGAACACCAGUGGCGAAGGCAAUCCCCUGGGCCUGUACUGACGCUCAUGCACGAAAGCGUGGGGAGCAAACAGG
rnacentral:rRNA from 1 species